rnacentral:snRNA from 1 species
GUAUAACGGCGCCAGUCUGUACAUAUAGCAAAAGUGGAACGAUGUACAGAAGAUUAGCAUCUCCCCUGCGCAAGGAUGACACGCAAAAUCAGGAAACGUUCCCCAUUUUU